rnacentral:rRNA from 1 species
AACGGAUGAGACUAGUGUUACUCACAUGGACUUGCGUAAAGGAUCUGUAGGCAGCAUUUAUAUUUUGUAAAAUCGUGUAAAUCGCUUUAAAUCAACUUAAAGGCAAUGCACUACUUACUAAUUAUAGCUAGAGUGAGAAUGAGGAUAGCCGUACUCUCGUGUAAGAAGUAAAAUGCAAACAUACUGAUGGGGACGAUCGUAGGUGCAGACAACUAUCUACAUCUCUACUGACGCUGAGGGAUUAAAGUAUAGGAGCAAACAGG